rnacentral:tRNA from 1 species
GGCUAGGUAGCUCAGCCGGUUAGAGCGCGGCACUCAUAAUGCUGAGGUCGAGAGUUCGAGUCUCUCCCUAGCCACCA